rnacentral:lncRNA from 1 species
GCUUGCUGGGUGACACCGACUGAGACCUGGCCUUGGACUUGGUCCGCGACCGGGACCGCCUCUUCUUCUUCUUCUCGUGGGGACUUCUGGAGCGGGUCCGCUUCCUACUGGCCCCAGGGCUGCGGCUCACGCGGUAGGCAGUGGGCACACUCCUCUCUUCCCUCCGUCUCUCAGGGGAGUGGGCUCUCCUCCGAGGGGACCGGGAGCGGGACCUCGACCGCCGCACUGUCCGAUAGGCACUGGGAAGAGAAUGCUUUGCUUUUGAGUGUGAUCUAGACCUGGACUUGGAU